UACGUAGGGGGCAAGCGUUGUCCGGAUUUAUUGGGCGUAAAGAGCGUGUAGGCGGUCAGGUAGGUCCGUUGUGAAAACUCGAGGCUCAACCUCGAGACGCCGGUGGAAACCAUCAGACUAGAGUCCGGAAGAGGAGAGUGGAAUUCCUGGUGUAGCGGUGAAAUGCGCAGAUAUCAGGAAGAACACCCGUGGCUAAGGCGGCUCUCUAGUACGGUACUGACGCUGAGACGCGAAAGCGUGGGGAGCGAACAGG
rnacentral:rRNA from 1 species